GACGAACGCUGGCGGCGUGCUUAACACAUGCAAGUCGAACGGAAAGGCCCUGCUUUUGUGGGGUGCUCGAGUGGCGAACGGGUGAGUAACACGUGAGUAACCUGCCCUUGACUUUGGGAUAACUUCAGGAAACUGGGGCUAAUAUCGGACAGGAGCUCCUGCUGCAUGGUGGGGGUUGGAAAGUUUCGGCGGUUUGGGAUGGACUCGUGGCUCAUCAGCUUGUUGGUGGGGUAGUGGCUUACCAAGGCGUUGACGGGUAGCCGGCCUGCGAGGGUGACCGGCCACAUUGGGACUGAGGUGCGACCCGGACGGCAACGGAGGGCAGCAGUGAGAGAUUGUGCACGAUGGGCGGAAUCCGGAAACAGCAACGCCGCGUGCGAGAUGACGGCCUGCAGGUAGUAAACCGCUUUCGCCUGUGACGAUGCGUGAGUGACGGUAAUGAGUAAGGAAGCACCGGCUAACUACGUG
rnacentral:rRNA from 1 species